UACAGAGGGUGCAAGCGUUAAUCGGAAUUACUGGGCGUAAAGCGUGCGCAGACGGUUGCGUAAGUCAGAUGUGAAAGCCCCGGGCUCAACCUGGGAACUGCAUCCAAAACUGGCAAGCUAGAGUACGGUAGAGGGUGGUGGAAUUUCCUGUGUAGCGGUGAAAUGCGUAGAUAUAGGAAGGAACACCAGUGGCGAAGGCGACCACCUGGACUGAUACUGACACUGAGGUGCGAAAGCGUGGGGAGCAAACAGG
rnacentral:rRNA from 1 species